UACGGAGGAGGCGAGCGUUGUCCGGAUUUACUGGGCGUAAAGAGCGCGCAGGCGGUCGUACAAGUCGCGUGUGAAAGCCCCCGGCUCAACUGGGGAGGGUCACGCGAUACUGUUCGACUCGAAGGCAGGAGAGGGAAGUGGAAUUCCCGGUGUAGUGGUGAAAUGCGCAGAUAUCAGGAGGAACACCGGUGGCGAAGGCGGUUCUCUGGGCAUUACCUGACGCUGAGGAGCGAAAGUGUGGGGAGCGAACAGG
rnacentral:rRNA from 1 species